CACGUAGGGGGCGAGCGUUGUCCGGAUUUAUUGGGCGUAAAGAGCUCGUAGGCGGCUCAGUAAGUCGGGUGUGAAAACUCCAGGCUCAACCUGGAGACGCCACCUGAUACUGCUGUGGCUAGAGUCCGGUAGGGGAGCAUGGAAUUCCUGGUGUAGCGGUGAAAUGCGCAGAUAUCAGGAGGAACACCAAUUGCGAAGGCAGCUCGGUGGGACGUAACUGACGCUGAGACGCGAAAGCGUGGGGAGCAAACAGG
rnacentral:rRNA from 1 species